UCCUGGAAUGAUGCCCACCCUUUUCUGUUUGUCCUCAGAAAACCUGUCUGCCAACAUAUCUUGUCCCACUAAUUGGACUCUGCACAAUUGUAGAUGUUUCCACUUUGUUACAACACCAUUGAGUUGGGCUCAGGCUCAGAAACACUGUCAAUCCGAGGGGGGAAACCUUGCAUCGAUACACAGUGUUGAGGAGGUUUUGGAGAUUCAUAGGAUCAUACAACAUAACACUGAGUUGAACAAUGCAGCUAAUGGAAAAUACUUGGUUCUGGGGUGAUGGUAAACCUUUCAAAUUCACAUACUGGUGUCCAGGAACACCAAAGGAUCCCAAAAAACAGUGCUGUUUACAGAUUUCUUCUAGAGAUGGACAGUGCUGGGAAGACUCAUUGUGUUACAAUCUCCUCCCAUCAAUCUGUGCCAAACCCUCCAGUGAUUGCUGAACGGACACAGAGGCAUGCACUACCUUUAAACAAACACUUGGUAUAUGUGACAAGUGAAACUGAAGCUGAAGAAGAGGAUUGAAUGGUUGUUAAUGAGUAUCUUAUUACCACUCUGAGAAAAUUAGUCUUAUAAUGUAAAAUUAAAAAGCUGAAGCAUUGAAACAA